rnacentral:rRNA from 1 species
GACGAACGAGGGAGGGGGGAGGAACACAUGCAAGUCGAACGGAAAGGCCCUGCUUUUGUGGGGUGCUCGAGUGGCGAACGGGUGAGUAACACGUGAGUAACCUGCCCUUGACUUUGGGAUAACUUCAGGAAACUGGGGCUAAUACCGGAUAGGAGCUCCUGCUGCAUGGUGGGGGUUGGAAAGUUUCGGCGGUUGGGGAUGGACUCGCGGCUUAUCAGCUUGUUGGUGGGGUAGUGGCUUACCAAGGCUUUGACGGGUAGCCGGCCUGAGAGGGUGACCGGCCACAUUGGGACUGAGAUACGGCCCAGACUCCUACGGGAGGCAGCAGUGGGGAAUAUUGCACAAUGGGCGGAAGCCUGAUGCAGCAACGCCGCGUGCGGGAUGACGGCCUUCGGGUUGUAAACCGCUUUCGCCUGUGACGAAGCGUGAGUGACGGUAAUGGGUAAAGAAGCACCGGCUAACUACGUG